rnacentral:rRNA from 1 species
GACGAACGCUGGCGGCGUGCUUAACACAUGCAAGUCGAACGGAAAGGCCCUGCUUUUGUGGGGUGCUCGAGUGGCGAACGGGUGAGUAACACGUGAGUAACCUGCCCUUGACUUUGGGAUAACUUCAGGAAACUGGGGCUAAUACCGGAUAGGAGCUCCUGCUGCAUGGUGGGGGUUGGAAAGUUUCGGCGGUUGGGGAUGGACUCGCGGCUUAUCAGCUUGUUGGUGGGGUAGUGGCUUACCAAGGCUUUGACGGGUAGCCGGCCUGAGAGGGUGACCGGCAACAACGGGAGUGAUAGAAGGCCAAGAAUCUCACGUGACGCAAGUGGGUGGAGUAAAGCAAGAUGGGCGGAAGCCUGAUGCAGCAACGCCGAUUGCGGGAAGACGGUCGUGGGGGUGUAAGCCGAAUCCGCGAGUGACGCAGCAUGAGUGUCGGCAGGGGGUAAAGAAAGGACGGCAACAUACGUG